AAUGUAGUGGCAGAUUAGUGCAUUAGAUUUAAAAUCUAAAAAUGAUAUUUAUAUCCUAUAUUA
rnacentral:tRNA from 1 species